rfam:Populus trichocarpa scaffold_1_contig_424, whole genome shotgun sequence.
UCUAGAACUCAAGAUAUGAGCUAUAAACUGAACAAUGUCUUAGCUGCAGGACAGAUUCCGACUUCUCCGUUGUUGCUAAGAUUUGAACUUAAAAAUGGCAGAAUUGAGUCUUGGACUUCAUGAAAGUUUUAGGUCUAUGUCUUAGCUUUCCAUC